rnacentral:rRNA from 1 species
CUCGGUAUUGCGACUGUUUUUGCCAAAGUUGAUCAAACUUGAUGAUUUGGAGGAAAUAAAAGUCGUAACAAGGUUUCCGUAGGUGAACCUGCGGAAGGAUCAUUA